GGGGUUGUGGCUCAGCGGUAGAGCGCUUGCCUAGCACGUGUGAGGCUCUGAGUUCUAUCCUCAGCACCACA
rnacentral:tRNA from 1 species